UACGUAGGGGGCGAGCGUUGUCCGGAAUUACUGGGCGUAAAGGGUGCGUAGGCGGCUACUUAAGUCUCGUGUGAAAGGCCUCGGCUCAACCGGGGAGUGCCAUGGGAACUGGGUAGCUUGAGUGCUGGAGAGGGUUGCGGAAUUCCCGGUGUAGCGGUGAAAUGCGUAGAUAUCGGGAAGAACACCAGUGGCGAAGGCGGCAACCUGGACAGUGACUGACGCUGAGGCACGACAGCUGGGGGAGCGAACAGG
rnacentral:misc_RNA from 1 species